CAGAAUGUACAACACUCUUCCAAGUGGUGUUUGUCUGCAAUAUUUUGAUUUUGAUCUUCAGUGGAGUGGUGAACAUUAUUCUAUGUGAACGGCUGAGGAGAAGAAAAUGUGAACUGUGUGCUGCACAUCAGAGAAGGUUUCAUUCUCUGUCUGUCCCUCCUCAACCAAACUCACCAGUGUCUGAUGCCAGUAGUAAUCUUGAUCGAGAGAGUAUGGACCUUAACUACACAAUGCUACAGUUCCCCGAAGACAACACAAAAACAGAGAGCUCAGAGAAUGAGCAGGGAGAGAAGACCAGAAAGGAAACGGUCUAUUCCAGCCUUAAAUGUCAAAUCUCAAACAUCACUGAGGAAAACUAAUAUUUUUCAGAGCUCCAUAGUGCAGAUUUCUGGCAGGACACUGAAGCUCCCCCUCCGCAGACCAGGCUUUAUAUUGAAGAUCAUCACCACUGACCCUGAACCAAUGACCAGACAUAAAGCGCAGGCCAGUCCACACAUAAGCUGUCUGGAAAGCUAUGUUGUUAUUUAUCACCUCUGUGACAAUGAUCAUGGAGGUUAGACUCAUCACAGCAGUGUUUUUCGUCUGCAGUAGUCCAGGGCUUCAUCCCGCAUCUUAUUCUGAUGCACCAGAAUGGGCUCAAAGACCUGCAUACGGUAAAAUGGUAGAAUCCAAAAGCACAGAUCAUUGUGCAGUUUAGAACUGACUUCUACAGUGUUUCCUCCCCAUCUCCUUAUUUCCUCCUCCUUAUCUCCAGUCCAAAUCUAUAUAUGUAGUCCAACCAAAAAUAAAUUAAAAAAUCAGACUCAAAAAUGAACAGUGACUGUAGCCUUCAUUUGAUAAUCUACACAGUGAAACGUUGGUGUGAAUUUAAUGAUAAAGUUAUCACAUCCCUCCAGUGUUUUUGUAGAUAAGAGUACUGGCCAAUCAGAAGAUCACACUCUUUAAGUAUUUGUGUAACAAAUAUAUUUAAAGAAAUCAUGUGCUUACCAAAAGCAAAUCUGCUGAAACGGAAAAACAGAGCAUCCGUUUAUGCAAAAACUCCAAAUUGUGCAUGACUAAGAGAUCUUGACAUAGGCCUACUUCAAAAUGUGGGCAAGCAAUUGAGUUAGGAUGACCUACUGUGUAAUUAAAUAUGAUAUACAAUAUAAUCACUGUAAAAUUAAAUAAAAACUAUAUCUAUGUGACAGUUCAUCCAAAAAAAUGAACUUUUUAUCUCACCUUCAUGCCAUUCUAAAGCUGUAUGACUUUCCUUUUGUGGAACACGAGAACAUAUUUUGAAAAAAAAUUUUUUUUUUUUUUUUUUUUUUUAUCCACACAAUGAAAGUCAGUGGGGUCCAUUGUUGUUUUGGACCACAGCAACUUUCAUUGUGUGGACAAUA